UACGGAGGGGGCUAGCGUUGUUCGGAAUUACUGGGCGUAAAGCGCGCGUAGGCGGCUUUGUAAGUUAGAGGUGAAAGCCCGGGGCUCAACCCCGGAACAGCCUUUAAGACUGCAUCGCUAGAAUCCGGGAGAGGUGAGUGGAAUUCUGAGUGUAGAGGUGAAAUUCGUAGAUAUUCGGAAGAACACCAGUGGCGAAGGCGGCUCACUGGACCGGCAUUGACGCUGAGGUGCGAAAGCGUGGGGAGCAAACAGG
rnacentral:rRNA from 1 species